UACGUAGGGUGCAAGCGUUUGUCCGGAAUUAUUGGGCGUAAAGAGCUCGUAGGCGGCUUGUCACGUCUGCUGUGAAAACUCGGGGCUCAACCCCCGAGCCUGCAGUGGAUACGGGCUAGCUAGAGUGCGGUAGGGGGAGACUGGAAUUCCUGGUGUAGCGGUGAAAUGCGCAGAUAUCAGGAGGAACACCGGUGGCGAAGGCGGGUCUCUGGACCGAUACUGACGCUGAGGAGCGAAAGCGUGGGGAGCGAACAGG
rnacentral:rRNA from 1 species